UUUCCAUAAUCGAUUAUUGUAGUGAAAAUACAAGUGAUAAUCGAUUAUUGCUUGUCCAUAAUCGAUUAUUGCAGUAGAAAAUACAAUGUUUACAAUUUAUUUAAGACUUUCCUACUACAUUAAUUUNUACAAAUUGCUUUUAAAUAAUUCUAAAGUUCUCUUCAAAUAAAACUUCUUGCAGCAUCAUCAAAACAAUUUUCUUCAAGAUUUAUCAAUACUCCUUUUUGGUAACAAUCUCCCCCUUUUUGAUGAUGAUCAAAAAUUCAAUUUUAAAAGCAACUUUGGCUUACCUGCAAAACAUACAAGCUAACAGAUAGCAACAAAGUUAACAAUACCUGAUACUUCUCCCCUUAUAGUAUUCUUCUCCCCCUUUUUGAUCAUAAGCAAAAAGAUCAAUAUAAAAAAUCUCCCCCUAAAUAUGAUCUCCCCCUCAAUUAAACAAUGUAUGCAUAAAGACAAGAGAUCAUUUUACUCAUAAAAGGAAUGAUUACAUUAAUAUCAUAAGGAGAAACAUAAAUGACAACAAUAUACCAUAGAAUUAAAAACAACAAUUAAUCAACAAAGCACACAAACAUAAAAUCCUAAUUCUAAAAUUCAUGGGGAUCUCUCGGGUGGUUGAAGGUUGAGGUGAUUUUCAAUAUUUCCUAGAUAAACAUCAAUGUCAAGAAUUUGAUCAACCAUAUAAAUUUCAUGAGCUUGCUGCCAUUCAUAAAUUUGAUCAAAGUGAGGUUUCAGCGCAAAACUCAUAUCUUCCAGUUAUCACAAAAGUUCUCAAUUAAAAGCUUCACUCCCUCAUUUCAAAAAAAUCAACUAAAGUUUAUGCUCCCCAUAAAAUAGGUAAAUUAAAAAGGAUUUAAGUCCUUGAAAAGUAC
rnacentral:lncRNA from 1 species